UAGUACUGUAUCCUUGCAGCUGUUUAUUAUUUACUUUGAUAUUGACUCUGCCACCUGAUUACAUCACUUCCUGGUCCUGAGAGGAAGCAGCCGUUUCUGUUGUAACAGUCAUUUUGCCAGGGCUGGUGAAAUCAGCACCCGCACUCAUCUCUAAGCAAGCCUAUCCAAGCAUCGUUGGCGGAUUUCAAUAAAUUGCUCCUGUGAUCAUACAAGCACUCACCAGUUGACUGGCAAUGGAUCACCAGAAUGUUAGCCAUUUCAGCAAACUUAACACUGUCUGGCAACUUUUUGAUUUCCUUCAAGAACUCUCCAAGUGACACUUCACACCUGCAAGGAAACAUGAGGAUCAUGAGAUGAGAGCUAGUGCCAAUAUUCAGAAGGAAAACACUUCUGCUGCAAAGCACCAAUACAUUAUUUAGAGCACAUAAUUUCAAGUGAAUCUUGUUUUCUAUAAAGAUCCAGUAACACCAUAAAGCAUA